rnacentral:rRNA from 1 species
AUUGAACGCUGGCGGCAUGCUUUACACAUGCAAGUCGAACGGCAGCACGGACUUCGGUCUGGUGGCGAGUGGCGAACGGGUGAGUAAUACAUCGGAACGUACCCAGUAAUGGGGGAUAACUAUCCGAAAGGAUAGCUAAUACCGCAUACGCCCUACGGGGGAAAGAGGGGGAUCGCAAGACCUCUUGUUAUUGGAGCGGCCGAUGGCUGAUUAGCUAGUUGGUGGGGUAAAGGCCUACCAAGGCAACGAUCAGUAGCGGGUCUUAGAGGACGAUCCGCCACACUGGAACUGAGACACGGUCCAGACUCCUACGGGAGGCAGCAGUGGGGAAUCUUGGACAAUGGGCGCAAGCCUGAUCCAGCAAUGCCGCGUGCGUGAAGAAGGCCUUCGGGUUGUAAAGCGCUUUUGUCAGGGAGCAAAUCCUUGUGGCUAAUACCCACCGGGGAUGAGAGUACCUGAAGAAUAAGGACCGGCUAACUACGUGACAGCCGCCGCGGUAAAAC